GAGAGGUGCUGCAUGGCUGUCGUCAGCUCGUGUUGUGAAAUGUUGGGUUAAGUCUCGCAACGAGCGCAACCCCUAUCGUCUGUUGCCAGCAUUAAGUUGGGCACUCUGACGAGACUGCCUGGGUUAACCAGGAGGAAGGUGGGGAUGACGUCAAGUCCUCAUGGCCCUUAUGUCUAGGGCUACACACGUAAUACAAUGGCGCGUACAGAGGGAAGCGAACCUGCGAAGGGGAGCAAAUCUCAAAAAGCGCGUCUCAGUUCGGAUUGGAGUCUGCAACUCGACUCCAUGAAGUUGGAAUCGCUAGUA
rnacentral:rRNA from 1 species